AUUAGUUAAUUGUAAAAUGCUAAUUAUUUUCUCCUGCCACCUUUCAGACAUUGUAAUCCAACUUGGAUGGAACAACUUCGUGACUUUAAUGACACCCAGCAACACGAUGUUUUUUUCUUUAUUUGUGUUCGAGCUAGAGAGACACACAAGCACCACAGGGGAGGAUCUGCAGCAAAGGGCCCACCGGAAAUCAAACCUUGGCCGCUAUGAUGACGACAACAUGGGGCACUUGAGUGUGUGACUACGACUACCAGCAUGAACCUCAACACCUUCUUUGCUGUUCCACUAGUGUGACCCAUGAUCGGAUCCAAGUUGUCAAGGAUAAACGGGAAGAGAAUCAUGUCAGCCCACAGACAACCGGUUGACCUGUGAGUCUUCAAGCAGUAAUGAUGACUACGCCUGCCUUAAGUUCCAGUUUCCUGGACAUCAUGUCGGCAUGAGAUUCUGUCCCCACCUGUCUUCAGUCUGGACCCAAUGAGUUGUUUUUUUACAGGGGGUUUCAGUCACAUGGUUUAUUUCG